UACAGAUCUAAAAUUAUAAAGUUGUUUGUUUUUUUUUUUUUUUUUUGAAUAUUUUUGAUCAAGUGCGAAUACACUUUUUUCCUUUUUGAAAAUUUGUGACAGCUCUGCGGUUUUUGUUUCGUUGACUUGUUUUGUAGUCAUGUCUGAAGACGACUGUUCAUCGACUCGUGACUGGGCUUUGCCCUCCUCGAAUGGGAAGCGAUCCGAUGCCGCUUACCGCAAACAGCGGAUUCUACCCACACACAAGGGAAGAGCUGUGCUCAACCUUGCGGCACAGCGGCGUGGAAGGAUGCCUUCAAAGCCCCGAGCACCUUACCGUAGUGCAGCAGCUCCCUUUUGCUCCCUACAGCCAACGCCAUUGUCCGUGCAUCUGGAGCGCCCGUAUAAGGCUGAAGCCGAAAAAACGCGUCCCCAUUGAGCGCAAAAGCAAACGCACAUGUGGCAAGGACAAGCCCAAGAGCUCGGAAGUCUGUUGCUAAGAAGUCAAAGCGCAAUGUCCAGAAGCCCUAGUGCUAGAAGACCGAUAUGAACUAUAGAAACAAAACUAGAAUAUGAAAAACAAAAACAAACCAAACGAAAUGAACCGAAACAACACAAGACCAUCGUCAAUUCAGGAAUCCUCGAAGCAAACUCAAAUUGAACUUGAAGAAGCCCCAUCUAGGACGAAGCCGACUUGGUACAAAAGAGCCACCCACGAGCAUACGGCGAUUGUAUCUGAUAUUUGGCGCCUGAGGAGGUGUCGGCCAUCACUCUGCUGAACCGUGUGGAGACCAGUAUGGCAUGGGAUCGACACGUGGAAUACCAGCUAUGCUAUUGUCGUGGCCUUUUGUCUUUUCGAGAACCGACUGGCGCGACUGGCCUCUUAAAAGCUCUUAAAACGGAUUGCCCAGUGAGUGGCAGUGCUGGAUGGCAGGGAAUGUAUUCUGAAUAAAUAAUAGUAGUAAUUCAAGAGUA